UCCCUGGUGGUCCAGUGGCUAGGACUCUGCACUCCCAAAGCAGGGACUUUGGGUUCGAUCCCCUGUCAGGGAA
rnacentral:tRNA from 1 species